CGUGAUGCAACGUUUUGUCGGGGCUGAACGUGGCCCAGUUGUGAACGGUUCUUCUUCUCUCGGUAACAACAGAAAGAUCAGCCGUCAUUGUGGGCUUCUCAUUGUACCUGGCAGACUCAUGGAACAAGAAGCAUCCCUCAAAGACCAUCCAACCAAGGCAACAGAGCAGACAAAGAGAUCUGAGCCGAAACAUGGAUAACAGCUUGUUUAUGGGUAAAUUUGUGCAUCUUUAUUAGGAUGAAUGCCUGUAAAAUAUCCACGCUCAUUAACUAAAUGCACGUGGCAGUAUAUGGACCCGUACACAUUAAUCAUGGAUGUCAGACUAUGAUACAUACUGUACAUGGAUGUUCAAUCUGCUUCAUUAUACUGAUGCAAGCCACAUGCUGGAGGUCAAGAAACAGGGUUGCACAAGUCAUAUCAAACAGCAAA